AUGCUUGAAAUAAUAAUACCUCUGGCGGACAAAAAAGUUAAUUUUCACCAGGAUAUUUUUUUUCGCCAGUAAUGACGCUAGCCUUCGAUGCACUGAUUGGUUUAAUGCUUUAGGUAGAUCGAGAUAUUACUUAUUUUUCCAUUUACCCGGAACAUCAUUACUUGGACUCAGAACCUAAUUGACCGAAAGCAUGAGGACUCAGACUUUACCUGAAUACUGAAAAUAUGGACUCAAAUAAGGCUCUGAAUAUUAGAUCUAAUAGAUCUUUACUCUUUUCUUCAAUUAUAUUUACUAUUUAGAAUGAGUAAUUAUAUAAUUAAUUAUUUAUGGAAUAUGAAGAGGAUCUAUAAUGAAGGUUUUAUUUAUGAUAACCUCUAUGAAAAUAUGCAGUGGGAUCAUUCAUCAGUACACAUCUAAUUUGUGCGUACAAAUUUCACCAUAACAGAGGUUUUAUAUGCUAUGAAUGGAUAUCGUUAUCGUUGUUGAUUUAUUGAUUUCAUCACUGUUGGUCAUCCAUAACAUUGAGACUGAAUUGGAGUGUUUGACGUAAGAAUCAAUCGUUUUCGUUCAUCAUAAUUUAAAAAAAUACAUUUUUACUCCAGAGAUAUCGUUCUGAUACUACCCAACAGCAUCAAACAUAUGGCAAGAGUAAGAGAAUUAUCGAAUGGUCCACUUGUUAAAUUAAAUUUAUGAUCUUAAAUUUGUUAUGAAUUAUAUUUCAAUAUCAAUAAAGUAUUAGUUUUAAGA
rnacentral:lncRNA from 1 species